rnacentral:rRNA from 1 species
UACGUAGGGUGCGAGCGUUAAUCGGAAUUACUGGGCGUAAAGCGUGCGCAGGCGGUUCGUUGUGUCUGAUGUGAAAGCCCCGGGCUCAACCUGGGAACGGCAUUGGAAGCUGGCGAGCUAGAGUGUGGCAGAGGGGGGUGGAAUUCCGCGUGUAGCAGUGAAAUGCGUAGAGAUGCGGAGGAACACCGAUGGCGAAGGCAGCCCCCUGGGCUGACACUGACGCUCAUGCACGAAAGCGUGGGGAGCAAACAGG